rnacentral:lncRNA from 1 species
CUCACAUUUGAAUUGUGGAAAGGAAACAAGACUGACAGUUGGUAGGGGAAGGGGCAUCUGGGAGUGGCAGUUGGAUCUUGUGACUAGCAUUUCCUUUCUGCCGGGUUUUUUACUUCCUUCCAGGUGUUGGAGGAGGGUGGAGCUUGUUCAGCCCAGUCUGGGGUGGUGUGCCUCUUCUUGGAUCAGCCCAAAGAUUACAGGCCCAAUCUCUUCUGAAGCUGGAUUUCUGACAACAAAAUGCAAGAAAAGCCCAAGUCUUGACAAAAGGAAGAGAUGACUGACUCCUGGUAACAUUUUUUAAAAGCUUUAACUUUUUAAUUUUUAAUUUAAAUGUUUUAUUUAAUUUAAUUUAAGUUAAAUUUUCAUUUUAAAAAGCUUUUUUUUUUAAAAAGCUUUAAAAAGAUCAUGUUGGUCUCCCAAAAGGCCCAAUAGUGCCAAGUCAUGGUAAAAUUCAUCUUAUCUUGCUAACCUGGUAACUUUCUAUGACAAUCCAUUCUCUCAUUCUGCCCUUACUCUUCUCAAUCUACAAUUUGGUCCAUAAUUUCCUGUAUGCCCUGGACUUUGCUGNU